ACCAGACGAUGCGGUUACCGCGGCUGCUGGCACGGAGUUAGCCGGUGCUUCUUCUGUGAGUGAUGUCCUUCCUGCCGGCUAUUAACCCGCAGGCCUUCUUCCUCAACUGAAAGUGCUUUACAACCCGAAGGCCUUCUUCACACACGCGGCAUGGCUGGAUCAGGGUUGCCCCCAUUGUCCAAUAUUCCCCACUGCUGCCUCCCGUACGGAGUCUGGGCCGUGUCUCAGUCCCAGUGUGGCUGAUCAUCCUCUCAGACCAGCUACGGAUCGUCGCCUUGGUGAGCCGUUACCUCACCAACCAGCUAAUCCGACAUAGGCUCAUCCGAUAGCGCGAGGCCCGAAGGUCCCCCGCUUUCCCCCGUAGGGCGUAUGCGGUAUUAG
rnacentral:rRNA from 1 species